GCAUCACAAGCCACAGGGAGCUUUAGAACUUAGCUCUCGGUGCCACGAUCAGCAUGAGCUAUCGGGUCGAUGCCUGAUAGCCACUCCUGCAGGAAGAGUUCCAGAAUAUUCUCUCACCAGUAAGGAAAAGAAGUGACGCUCAUCAGGUUCUGAGGUUUCUGGCAGAGUGACGAGGAUUUCCAUCUCAUGUUUUCUUAUGAUUAAAAAUUGAUUACGACGUUUUGAUUUGAAACCAGUGGUCUAACUAGUGCUCAGAU